GCGGAAGUAGCUCAGUGGUAGAGCAUCACCUUGCCAAGGUGAGGGUCGCGGGUUCAAAUCCCGUCUUCCGCUCCA
rnacentral:tRNA from 1 species